ACGGAAGGCAGCAGUGGGGAAUAUUGCACAAUGGGGGAAACCCUGAUGCAGCGACGCCGCGUGAGUGAAGAAGUAUUUCGGUAUGUAAAGCUCUAUCAGCAGGAAAGAAAAUGACGGUACCUGACUAAGAAGCCCCGGCUAACUACGUGCCAGCAGCCGCGGUAAUACGUAGGGGGCAAGCGUUAUCCGGAUUUACUGGGUGUAAAGGGAGCGUAGACGGCCACGCAAGUCUGAAGUGAAAGCCCGGGGCUCAACCCCGGAACUGCUUUGGAAACUGUGAGGCUAGAGUGCAGGAGAGGUAAGCGGAAUUCCUAGUGUAGCGGUGAAAUGCGUAGAUAUUAGGAGGAACACCAGUGGCGAAGGCGGCUUUCUGGACUGUAACUGACACUGAGGCACGAAAGCGUGGGGAGCAAACAGGAUUAGAUACCCUGGUA
rnacentral:rRNA from 1 species